GACGGACCGUCCAAACGUUAUUCGGAAUUACUGGGCUUAAAGGGUGCGUCGGCGGUCUGGAAAGUUGGGUGUGAAAUACCUCGGCUCAACCGAGGAAUAGCGCUCAAAACUGCCAGACUUGAGGGAGAUAGAGGUGAGCGGAACUUAAGGUGGAGCGGUGAAAUGCGUUGAUAUCUUAAGGAACGCCUGUGGCGAAAGCGGCUCACUGGAUCUUUUCUGACGCUGAGGCACGAAAGCUCGGGGAGCAAACGGG
rnacentral:rRNA from 1 species